GUGAUACACAGCAUGUGGAUGAUUUGGAACUAGUGUUGGCAGCCAGCAGGGACUGUUUGGAUGAAAAUUCUUGGGGGAGUCACGGAAUUUGUAGCCCAACACGUGCUGUCAAAGGACCUGAUCUAUUCUGAGACAGCCAAGGAAGUGAAUGUCAUAGAGAACAACACAAAGAGAAACUGAUUUUCUCACGUAAGGUAGAUAGACCUAUUUCAUCACUGAGGUUGUUUAAAAUCUGACUGAAAAUACUUAUGCAAAAAAUCUCUUCCUGUCCCAGCAAAGUGCACAGUGAAAAUGUGCAUUACUUUGUUCAUUCCCUUACCUGGAAGGCUCCUCAGUUCACUUAUGGAUGUGAGGCUAGAAGGGAGUUCUUGGCAUUUGGUCACAAACAUUUCAACUCUGAGAUAUCAAAAGGUACAGCUAACUAUGGGUGAUGAUUUCAGCAUAACAAGGAAGUGGGGGCUGGGAGGAGUAAAAUUCUCUGAUGAAAUAUUUUUAAAUGAUGCUGUGUCUCAACACGCUCCUGCAGUUUUCCAUCCUAGCUCUGAUCUUCAUUACUUGUCUUCGUAAUUUGGAUGAGAGGCCCUUGAGGUUUGUGCAACAAAGGUUUGGAAUGUGCACUGAAGUAAAUCUACAAUAUCUUUGCAGUCUCUGAAGGAAAAAAAAAAAAAAAAAAAAGGUAAAUCAUCAGCAGAAUGUAUGAUCUGCCAAGAUCAGUCCUGCUCUGUAUCAUAAAACAAAGUGAAUUUCAUUAACAUUCUUUAGACAAGAAAGCCUGUAAUGCUUCAGUUAUGGGCCAAAGAGCUGCAGGGAGUUGCUGAUUUUUUUAUCUUUAAAGCAAGAAAGUAGAUGCAAAUUGACAGCUUCAGAAGGUUAAUGUGUGAAAGGGCUCUUUCUUUUCAAAGACAAAUCCACAAUGCUUUUUUAUCUUUUAUUGAUUAAGCAAUACUUGUUAAAUUAAUGCACCUUGCAACACUUCAAAAUCUCUCUCUUUUUCACACUUUUAAAAAGCAGCAAUUGGCUUUAACUUACUAGGGUACAUGUGAAUUUUGUCCUCCUGUUUGCAGAUCAGUGGUAACCGCCUUGCCAACUUGUUCUGUUGCACUGCACAGGACUAUUAAUGAUGUGUUGUGUAUUCAUAUGAAUGGAAUUUAUUUUGUGGUACCUACACUGCUGAGCAGCAGGAAUUUACUUUUGUUCUUCAUCCUUUCUGCUUCAGAGUAAUUUUGCUCUGAAGAAUAAUUACAAGUAAUAAUCUAGCCAAUCAAUGUAUUCUAUUUCCAAUUUUUAGUGUUUGAUUAACAGAGGGAAAAGAUUGGUGCUGACUCUUGGUAUCACAGUUAGGUUUUUAAGUAUCUUUUAGGUUUGGGAGAGGGCUUUUCUUGUCUUGCUCCCUACCCUCCCCCCCCCCCACAACAACAACAAACUCGAGAGCAUUAAGCAAAACUUAGAUUCUGUUUGUUUUUUUUUUUCCUACGUGAACUGGAGCAGUAGUGGAGAUCUCAAAAUCAAGCUGGCGAAAGAGAAUUCAGAGAGAAAGGCAGCAUAUAUAGGGAGCUUCAACUGAUGUGUGAAAACAUUUGCUUGGCUCUAUCUCAUCCAAAGCUGCAGGUAAGAAUUCAGUGAAGUGUGCAUAACAAGCACACAGCUCUUUUUAAUGGGUUUUUAAUGCCGAUGUGUUUGGUCCUCAUAAUCUUGCUUUGUAGGCAACAGUAAUGAUCAUAGCUCUGUCUAGGGAAGGCCCAUUUUGUAUCUGUUCCUGCUGGCAUGUAGAGUAACAGCAGCCAUCUUCCAUCAUCCUGAAUUCUCCCUGUGAGGUCACGGACUUGUCCCAAAUGUUUUUCAGUUCAUUAAAGUGUCAGUUUAGGAGUCCAGACAGUGCAUGGUUGUCCUUGGUGUUUAUGGUCUGUAUUCCUCCAGCUUGGUGUUGAAGAUCACUGAUGAUGAACAUUUGAUUGUAUCUGUAAAAACUCAUUUUGACAGUGCUGAGAUGUUUACAGCUGCUUGUAGCUGAGCUUAUUAGUGGCUUAGCCAUCAUUAGCUGCCAGCUGUGAAAAAUCACAUACCAUAAUGUGCAUCUUGCUAAAGCCUAGAAGAGUAUUCAUGAGAAGCAGCUGAGAACCUUAAAUCGUCUGAUUUUUGUUAACCUCUAAGUGCAAGGCUCUGCCUGAGUCUCCAGAGUGUGGCUAUCACAUAAAGUGAAAAAUAAAUCAUGUGCUAAUUACCAAAGCUAGUACCUGAAGUGGAGCUGUAAACAGUUCAGAGCAUCUGAGAGAAAUCCGAGCUGAUCUGCUGGUAUCUUUUUGGUUUUGUCCUAUAGAAAGAAUGUGCUUAUCUUUGAUAGUGUAGCACCUUGCCAUAAUUCAUGUUGUAAGAAUGAUGUGCACCAUUUGGUCUGACGUGCAGUAAAGGUAAUCUUGGAGCUCCCCUGCACUGCAGUGCACUGUGAGUGCCACCCUUCCACUUUGGCAUCACCAAGUAUGUUAUUAUAAGCAUUUCAAAAAUUGAAAUGUAAGCAAAUUCUGACUGUUGAAGACCAGUUGACAUUUAAUGAUUGAUGAACUCAGUGGCAUGUACAGAAAGGGCGUAGGGAGGAAGGUGCAAGCUGCCCGAGACGUUUCCAUGAUGGACAGAGCUUAAAGUCAAGUAAGUGUGAAAUAAUUCUUUUCUUACUCAAGUGUGGGCAUGUUCCAACUCCCCUGCAGGAUGUGCUGCAAUGAUUUACUCUGCUGAAUUCCUGUGAAAGCAAUCCUUUGUAAUUUCAGAGCCUUGAUGCUGCAUUUAUAAAUGACCUGGCCCAAUAGAGUCAGACGAUUGGCAGGGUUGUAUGUAGCUCACUUCUGAAGUGGAGAUUGUAAGUGGAAGGAUGAAGGGGUCAGGAAUUUCAUGUCUGUGUACACAGAGUUUGUGGUUUACCUUGAAGCUCAGACCUUUCUUCAGCAUUCUGGGAUAUGAGGGAAUACUACUGUAUGUAACUUGUUUGCAAGGGUUCUGAUGUUGUACCUGAUCUGAGAAUCACAGCACAGAGAAAGCCUUCAGCUAGCAGCAGGAGUAGACAGGGGAGGUGGGCACAACUGAACAGGGCAAGGUUCUGCAGAAGGAAAGCUUUUACAGGACCGCACUGCAGGCCAGGCAGAGGUAUUUGUACUUUCCGAGUCUCAGUGCAGUGUCGAGCCGCCGGAAUAACCUGCUUCCAAACUUCUUUUGCUGGGUGCUCCCUUCCUCUGUCCCAAUGCAAGGUGCUCCGCAGCCUGCGCUGCCUGCUGGCACGUCCUUCCGCAGCAGCCCCGCGCCUGGCUCCUCCCGCUCUCCUUAUAACGGCGUGGAUGCAGCCAGCGUUCUGCUCCAGCACUUCAUUUGCCUGCCCAUCGACGCGCUGCUGCUGGGACCCAUUCAGACAGACCAAGCUAGGAGAGGCUGAAGGAACUGCUGAAGUUUUCUCUAAACAGUAUUUCUGCUGCAAUGGACAAAGGACUUCACUUUAUGUUCACUGUGGUUACAGCGGUGCUGCUCCUGAGAGAAUCAAGCCAGACAGGAGCAAUGAGGAAUGAUGAUGCUAUGAUUAAGGCCAAUGACUUGAGGGGACCAGAAGAGAACCUUCCAGCUUUGACUGUCACAACGAUCUUGGAAGAUCCUUAUGUCAUGGUGAGAAGUGCAGAACUGGAGGGAUACUGCAUUGAUUUGCUGAAAGCACUCGCUUCAAUGCUUCACUUCAGCUAUAAGGUGAAGGUGGUGGGAGAUGGGAAGUAUGGAGCCAUCUCUUCCAAUGGGAACUGGACAGGAAUGAUUGGAGAAAUUCUAAGACAGGAGGCAGACAUAGCAGUGGCACCCUUGACAGUCACAUCAGCAAGGGAAGAGGUCAUCUCCUUCACUACGCCAUUCCUGCAGACUGGGAUUGGGAUCUUGCUUCGAAAGGACACCAUCUCUCACGAGAUGUCUUUCUUCCACUUCCUGGCUCCUUUCAGUAAGGAGACCUGGACUGGCCUCCUAUUUGCUUAUGUGCUGACGUGUGUCUGCCUCUUCCUUGUUGCCAGGCUGAGCCCUUAUGAAUGGAAUGAGCCAAAGAAUGAAGAGAAUCACUUCACCUUUUUAAACAGCCUCUGGUUUGGAGCAGGAGCGCUCACGUUGCAAGGUGUCACCCCUCGGCCCAAGGCGUUCUCUGUGCGUGUCAUCGCUGCCAUCUGGUGGCUCUUCACCAUAGCUUUGCUGGCUGCUUACAUCGCCAACUUCACCGCGCUGUUGAGCUCUGGCAGCGAGCAGCUCCCGAUCCAGACUUUCGAAGAUCUUGUGAAGCAAAGGAAGCUCGAGUUUGGGACACUGGAUGGCUCCUCCACUUUCUACUUCUUUAAGAACUCCAAGAAUCCCAUCCAUCAGAUGAUCUAUGAAUAUAUGGACAAGAGACGAGACCAUGUUUUAGUCAAAACCUACCAGGAAGCAGUUCAACGUGUGAUGGAAUCCAAUUAUGCCUUCAUUGGUGAAUCCAUCUCUCAAGACCUUGCAGCCGCCAGGCACUGCAAUUUGAUCAGAGCCCCUGAAGUUAUUGGAGCCAGAGGAUUUGGCAUUGCCACUGCCCAGGCAUCCCCGUGGACUAAGAAGCUGUCAGUUGCUGUCCUCAAACUGCGCGAAUCGGGUGAUCUUGACUAUUUGCGUAACAAAUGGUGGGAGUCCAGCUGCCUUCACCAAAGCAGAGACAGAUGGAGCCCCCUGCAGCCCCAGGCUCUGGGUGGGCUCUUUCUUACUCUUGCAAUUGGCCUUGCAUUAGGAGUGAUUGCAGCUAUGGUGGAGCUGUCAAAUAAGAGCAGACAUGCUGCUGGACAUGUCAAGAAAUCUUGUUGCUCCAUUUUCACAGAAGAAAUGUGCACUCGUCUACGUAUAAAAGAAAAUACAAGACAAACCCAGGAGACUUCAGGGAGGGCUAAUGCUUAACAAAAAUUCUUAAGGAAUGGGCAUAUAUUGUGGUUCUACCAUCUAUAUGUCAUAGGAGCUACAUCACUGUAGGAAGAUAUUUUUCUGCAAGAGUAGAGUGUUAGUUUCCUAAUUACAAACACAGUACUUCUGGAUUGAUGGUGGAGCUGGUUAUAGAAAACCAAGCAGCUUGGAAGAAUUUAAAUUGAUAAGAGGGAGAGUGCAACUGCUAAAAUUAAGGGAGGUUAAGAUGGGUGAUCACAUCUAUAUUUAAUUUAGAAGUUUACCAUGUAAGUGCAGAAAUGCCUGCAGGAGUAAGUGACUUGGGAUAGGUUAAUAUGAAGCCUCUGCAUACUAAUUAUAGAAUGAGGUGCAAUCUUGAAAAUUAAAGCUUUUAUCUGACUCUUCUAAUCAAGAAUAACUGCUUAAGAUUUUAAUUUUAAAUAGAAUGUAUUUUUGCCUCCUUCUAGGCAAAUGAUAGCGAUCACUGUGAAAGUCAUUUCUGAAUCAGAAAGGACAUUACUGAUGCAUCCAUCCCAAUAAUGCAGGAUUUAACUGUAUUCUCCACAAAGGCCUAAAAUCUGAGAAAGGGAAGCCUUACAGUUAAGGAACUAGAUUUGAGAAAAGUCUGUUUUCCAGCAGAAGGUAUGUUUCCUUGUUUAGCUACAGAGGACAGUUUGUCUAGUUAACUUCACUAGGAACUAUUUAGGAAUAAGAUUCAUACUUCAAGUCCAAGAGCAGUAGAACAUGAACACUGGCAAACAAAAUCAAUUAAAGUACAAAUUCAGUAGGCAAGGGUGAGUAAUGGGCAUUUUUUGUUAUUUUCUUGCUGUCAGAGAAGAAUCUUUGAAGUUAUGGGGAACGGUUACUUUGGUUGCAUAUUAAAUAGUUUUCUAAUUAAGUUGUUUUUCAUUUCAGAGGUGGAAUGGCUGAUGCACGCACAGGCAGUUUUGCAAAUUCAGGGUUAAAUAACUGCGUUUACGUACUGCGCAGCUGAUGGAGCAGGGCACAAAUUCAGUUCCUUAGAAGUGGUUUUAACUGCACUGUGUGAACAGAGAGACUAAUUCCUCUCUGUUCCAGCAUUAAAUAACUGAAGGAAACAGAAAUUAACAUGUCUGUGACAGGGAUAGAGCUGGUUGUUCCUGAAUAAAGCGUUCACAUUCACUCUGAAUGCAAUGCAGACUUAAACUUCUGAUUACUGCUAAGUAAUUUAGUAGGGAUGCAGCCUGCCUCUCCCCCCUCAGCUUGUUAAUAACAGUGGAAGCAGUAGGAGUUAAGAGUUCUUUAACUGUUGGUAGUGCUGUUCAGUUAUCUACUGUGUGCUCUCACAUUGUGACAGUUCUGUUUUAAAUGCAGCUGACAUAAAGUUCGUUAGAUUAGGAGGUGGAUCAGUCCCUCGACCAAAUUAACUGCAAAGAGCAUGAGACUGUUUAGGCGAUCGGCAAGCCAGGAGUUUUUGAUAACAGCAAGCUUGAGGCUCUCACACUUCAAAGCCGCGUAGUAAUUGGUGUGGAUGGCACGACCCAUGCCUUCAAUGAUAACCAAGUCUGUCUUCCGUUCUCUGACCAGCACAGCCAGACCUUUAUCCAGGCGGCUGAAAUGAGAGGUCUAGUUAAAUAGAAAUAAGUGCCCUGAUAAAGAAGGGACACUACGGUUAUGUGGAAGAGCUUUGAAAGCAGCUGGAUUCCAAAUGCUGCAGUUCCUGAAGAAAGUAAGCCAAGAAGCUUGGUAAGUGACAAAAUGUCUGUUUUAUUUCUGUAUGGUAUGAUUGCUGGAACUAUUAGUGCUGCACUAACAGAAUUUGUUUUGAGCUGUCUGAACAGGGCUGUGUUAAAUGUUAGAAACAAGCUUAAUAGGGUUGUUCCAUGAGUAAUGUAUUCAGUUACUCAGUGAUCAGUGGUAAUUCUGGACUCGUACCUUCAGCCGCUCUAGCCACUGACUGUAGGAAUCUUCUAACCAGGGACGUUCUGUGUCACAGACAAAAUUGUAUUAGCAUCACUUUUAGGCAAAGAGUAAAUCUGUACAUUAUGCAAAGCAGGAGGUGUCUCUUUAAAGAUAUGGAAUAUUUGAACUCAGAUUUUGAAUGUUAAGGAGUUCCUGAACUCUUAAUUAUUGGAAGUUCAACUACAGUAGCCUUGGAAUAGAAUUUUUCUGAUAGCAAUAGAGUCAUAUGAGCUAGCUCUCAUAAUGGCUUGUUCUGAGAUGGCUGGUGCUGCUGUUCCUUGGGACAUUGCUAAGACAGGACUGGAACCAUUACAGGAAACAGCACAGGCUAUUCAGGAUAUGCUGAGUAUUGGGGCAGCAGAGAGGUUUUUGGGUUCCACUUUGUUUGGAACACAAAAAGCAACAUUCCACUGAGAUUGUAUUUCAGAUAAACUGGCGAGUGCUACUGAGUCCCUGUCACAAGCAGAACUGCCAUCUUAAAUACCAUUACACUCUUCUUUACUCUCUUAUUAACACAAUAUCCAGAUCUAACCAACACUACAGAUCUCCCCCCUAUACCUUGCAGUUUUGACUUGGCUUCUUCAAAUCCAAAUUGUGGCUCACAUUCCAGAACACUGUAUCAGAAGAGAAAUAAAGGGUACGCAGUUAAGUAACUUCAGCUCACUUAAUUUGAAUACUUGUAUAGCAGGCUGUUGGCAAUUUUAUUGCAGGAUUAUAACUGGGAGUAUGGACAGGUCCAGUGACUGAAAAAUAGAUCCACCCUUAAAAACAAAAGGCUUGCAUGUACAUUAAAUUAGGGAGUUAAAUUAGAGAUCAGCAAGCACUACUCUAUGGGGGAAAAAAAAAAAAACAACAAACCUUUGGAUCUGCAGAUGACAAUAAAUACAGUAAUGAUCUAAACUAUCAUAGCCAUAAAACAACACUUUACAAAGUUAAAUCUGGAUAUCUGUCUACAACAUUUUGAGUUGUAUUUGUGUGUAGGCAGGAAAAAAAGAAAUUAACUAAAUACAGGUUUUAAAAGCCAUUCCUAUUGGCUGCAUGUAUAGAAAAGUAGCUUCAAACUUAGCUGUGAUGAGGAUGUACAUAAUGAGGCUAGAUUCUAAGCUGCCAGUUAAAAUAUUGCUCCACGUGGGCAGUGCUUGCCAGUCAAGUCUCAUAAAGUGCCUUCAGUCCAGUACCAAGUGAUGUUUAACUCUUAGCUUCUUCCUCGAACAGAGGGAGAGCUACACUUAGACAAGUGGCAACCAGACUAAUUGCUGUGACUGGGGUCAGUUCAAGUUUCUGCAGUUGUGGGCAGCAUUAGAACGCAGAUCCAAGUAGCCUCAAAUCACCUUGUUUUGAAUUGACUUGCAUUUUUUUGUUAUUUACUCAUGAGGGGAAAACUCCUCAAAGAUGCAGAAAGGGAAAGGAAGUGCUGAACGUUUGCUGCAAAACAGUGCCCACCUCCCCUACUCUGUAUUAUCAUCCCCACAGAAAGAGGUAAAAUCUAGAAGUACAAAAACAAAGAUAUUUCAAAACUGACAGCAUUUACAUCCUUUUCUGAAUUUAUGGCUGCUGACAGGAUAUAUGGAAAGAGAGCUCUCAAAAUGGCAGCAGAAAUGUAUGCUGAUCGAAAACAACUGGGAUUUAGUUAUUUUAAGAGACCACCAACCUGGCUUACAGCCCAUUGAAUAUACACUCUGAUAUCAGGGCAACUGUGGGUUACAGAGAGAGCACAUUUUCUACUAUAGGAAGAUAAUAUCAGCUUAAAUAGAACACAUACUCAAAAACAGAGCUAGUAACAGCUACAAACAAAGAGCCAGACUGCAAUAUUAGGUGGUCUGUCAUUUAAUUCAAACAUUCAGUGAUGUCUGCCAGAUUUUAAGGGUGGAAACAAACUUUGCUGCACCGCAAUAAUGCUUGCAAAUGAACAACCAACAUAUGAUUAAGGUUAAAUACAAACUACAAUGAGAUUGGUGCAUUUCAUUUACUUAUUUCUACAACAAAAACAAAAAAACAACAGUUGGAUAUUCUAUAUCUUAAAAGGGUGCUUUUAAAAUAUUUAACACCUACUCUGAGACUGCUUUUGCUCCCCAGUCAAAGACAUUCCCCGCAAGAAGUCCUUUCACCAGAGCAAACUGCCUCUCCUCCCAGCCUAAUGAAUCCAAAGAUUCGAUUACGCUUUGAAAACAUUUUAAGGCUAUGCCAUUUUCUUUCUGCUUUACCUGUAAGAAAGACAUGAAACAUCGCAUUUACGGACAAAAAAUCCUUACCCAUCAUUGGCUGUCUCAGUCCCAAGACCGUGUUCAAGCAUUCUCCUCUACGUUCAUGGCCUCUAAUGGACCAACAAGUUACUGUUAUCAGCAUGCUUAGUACCAACAAGAAAAAAGUUCCCUGGGAUUCUAAUAAACAGCUUUAUUAGUGCUA